UACGGAGGGUGCAAGCGUUAUCCGGAUUCACUGGGUUUAAAGGGUGCGUAGGUGGGUUGGUAAGUCAGUGGUGAAAUCUCCGAGCUUAACUUGGAAACUGCCAUUGAUACUAUCAGUCUUGAAUAUUGAGGAGGUCAGCGGAAUAUGUCAUGUAGCGGUGAAAUGCUUAGAUAUGACAUAGAACACCAAUUGCGAAGGCAGCUGGCUACACAUAUAUUGACACUGAGGCACGAAAGCGUGGGGAUCAAACAGG
rnacentral:rRNA from 1 species